rnacentral:lncRNA from 1 species
AUUUGAGAAAUGAGAUUUAGUAUAUUGUUGAUUUAAAGAUAAACCUGUAAUUAAAGGGUAUCAAUGGGUGAAUCCUGCAAAUAAAGCAAAGACUGCUCCUAUAGAUAAAACGUAAUGAAAAUGUGCAACUACAUAAUAGGUGUCAUGAAGUAUCAUGUCUAAAGAUGAAUUAGAUAAAACAAUUCCAGUUAGUCCACCUGUAGUAAAUAGAAAAAUAAAUCCUAAUGGUCAUAAUAUAGGAGAGGUAUACUUAAUAGAUGAACCAUAAAUAGUAGCUAAUCAACUAAAGACUUUAAUUCCUGUGUGAAUUGCAAUAAUUAUUGUGGCAGCUGUAAAAUAUGCUCGUGUAUCAACGUAUAUUCCGACUGUAAACAUAUGGUGGGCUCAGAUGACAAAUCCUAGAAGUCCAAUAGAUAAUAUUGCGUAAAUUAUUCCGAGUUUUCCGAAAGUUUCUUUUUUUUAAAGGGUAGUGAAAAACAAUAUGAGAAAUUAUACCAAAUCCUGGUAAAAUUAAAAUGUAAACUUCUGGAUGUCCAAAAAAUCAGAAUAGAUGUUGAUAUAAAAAUUGGAUCUCCGCCGCCUCUUGGAUAAAAAAAUGUAGUGUUGAAAUUUCAAUCGGUUAAGAGUAUGGUAAUUGGCGGCGAGCUGGCAGAAACGUUAGCACGCCGGGCGAAAUGCGUAGCCAUAUUUCGUCUGCCGUUACGUUCUGAGUUCAAAUUCCGCCGAGGUCGACUUUGUCUUUCAUCCUUUCGGGGUUGAUUAAAUAAGUACCAGUUACGCAUUGGGGUCGAUGUAAUCGACUUAAUCCGUUUGCCUGUCCUUGUUUGUCCCCUCUAUGUUUAGCUCCAUGUGGGUAGUAAAGAAAUAAGUAUGGUAAUUGCUCCAGCAAGAACUGGUUAACAGAGAAAUAGUAAAAUUGCAGUGAUAAAAACCGAUCAUACAAAUAAAGGGAGUCGUUCUAUUAAUAUACCUUCUCAUCGUAUAUUAAUAAUAGUUGCGAUGAAAUUAAUGGCUCCAAGAAUUGAUGAAAUACCUGCUAGAUAGAGUGAAAAAUAGCUAAGUCAACAGAAGGGCCUACAUGAGCUAAAUUUCUUGAAAGAGGAGGAUAAAAGGUUCAUCCAGUUCCUACACCUCUUU